rnacentral:snoRNA from 1 species
AAAUAAAUAAAUAAAUAAAUUUUAACCUCCUGAGACUUGUGACGUCUUCAAAGAAACCACCGAUGUAC